GACUGUGAGGAGCAACUGCGUUGCACACCCUGCUCCGGAGUGGAUGGGGACUUGUCCGAGGAGUGAUCUGAACCCUUCUCCACCAUGGUGUCUCCGUCCUGGUUCUGUGGUGUUGGUUAAGGCAACUGAGCUCAAGAACCAAAGAACAGCACAGCAGAAAUUAGGUGGCCUUUCUGACUCAGUCCCUCCCCUGUGUAUGAUCUCAUGGUGAACCCCUCCACGCUGAACUUCACAUUUAAUUGUUAGAGGAAAAUGAGCGUAUUCUCUUCACCCCCCACCAGGAUAUGAGAAGGAGGGUGGGAAAGAACACAUGGCGAAGCACUGAGAGACUGAGCAUCCCUGGGACAGAAGGGCUCAGAUCUGCACUAGGGGAAGCACACAGACACAAGACACAGGCAGUCUGAGCCCACAACCAGCUCAGCAUCACUGCUUUCUCUGUGGUCAGGACUACACCCACACAGGCAGCAGAGAUUGCCAUAGGAUUAUGUGAGAUGGAAAAUCCUCUAUGGGCAGGGUGGAUUCGCACAGAAGAACAGCAGCCCGGCCAUUUCUCUCACAGUUCUGACCUCGUUGCUCUUAAGAACAAAGUCAGGUCCUGGGCUGCAACUUCUUCAUUCCUCUUCUCCCUUACUGGAAGUGAAAUAUAUUCCCUCAAACCUCUUCUCAGAUAUUAAAACGCACCUUCCCUCUCUCCAACAACU